rnacentral:rRNA from 1 species
GAUGAACGCUGGCGGCGUGCCUAAUACAUGCAAGUCGAGCGAACGGACGAGAAGCUUGCUUCUCUGAUGUUAGCGGCGGACGGGUGAGUAACACGUGGAUAACCUACCUAUAAGACUGGGAUAACUUCGGGAAACCGGAGCUAAUACCGGAUGAUAUUUUGAACCGCAUGGUUCAAAAGUGAAAGACGGUCUUGCUGUCACUUAUCGAUGGAUCCGCGCUGCAUUAGCUAGUUGGUAAGGUAACGGCUUACCAAGGCAACGAUGCAUAGCCGACCUGAGAGGGUGAUAGGCCACACGGGAACUGAGACACGGUCCAGACUCCUACGGGAGGCAGCAGUAGGGAAUGUUCCGCAAUGGGCGAAAGCCUGACGGAGCAACGCCGCGUGAGUGAUGAAGGUCUUCGGAUCGUAAAACUCUGUUAUUAGGGAAGAACAUAUGUGUAAGUAACUGUGCACAUCUUGACGGUACCUAAUCAGAAAGCCACGGCUAACUACGUG